AACGAACGCUGGCGGCAUGCCUAACACAUGCAAGUCGAACGCCUGCAGCAAUGCAGGAGUGGCGCACGGGUGAGUAACGCGUGGGAACCUGCCUAGUGGUAAGGAAUAACCGCGGGAAACUGCGGCUAAUACCUUAUGAGCCCUACGGGGGAAAGAUUUAUCGCCAUUAGAGGGGCCCGCGUCCGAUUAGCUAGUUGGUGAGGUAACGGCUCACCAAGGCGACGAUCGGUAGCUGGUCUGAGAGGAUGAUCAGCCACACUGGGACUGAGACACGGCCCAGACUCCUACGGGAGGCAGCAGUGGGGAGUAUUGGACAAUGGGGGCAACCCUGAUCCAGCAAUGCCGCGUGAGUGAUGAAGGCCUUAGGGUUGUAAAGCUCUUUCGACGGGGAAGAUGAUGACGGUACCCGUAGAAGAAGCCCCGGCUAACUUCGUGCCAGCAGCCGCCGCCGUAA
rnacentral:rRNA from 1 species